rnacentral:rRNA from 1 species
GACGAACGCUGGCGGCGUGCUUAACACAUGCAAGUCGAACGGAAAGGCCCUGCUUUUGUGGGGUGCUCGAGUGGCGAACGGGUGAGUAACACGUGAGUAACCUGCCCUUGACUUUGGGAUAACUUCAGGAAACUGGGGCUAAUACCGGAUAGGAGCUCCUGCUGCAUGGUGGGGGUUGGAAAGUUUCGGCGGUUGGGGAUGGACUCGCGGCUUCUCAGCUUGUUGGUGGGGUAGUGGCUUACAAAGGCUUUGACGGGUAGCCGGCCUGAGAGGGUGACCGGCCACAUUGGGCCUGAGAUACGGCCCAGACUCCUACGGGAGGCAGCAGUGGGGAAUAUUGCACAAUGGGCGGAAGCCUGAUGCAGCAACGCCGCGUGCGGGAUAACGGCCUUCGGGUUGUAAACCGCUUUCGCCUGGGACGAAGCGUGAGUGACGGUAAUGGGUAAAGAAGCACCGGCUAACUACGUG